CCUUUUUCCCUCUCUUUCACGCUUCAAAGCUCAGGUAUGACAGAUUUCUGUAAAAUUUCUGUAAAAUUAUCAGUCUUUCGGUGACUCUGAUUGCUAGGAGUACUUGGAAUGUGGUGAGGAGAGCUCAGUCAAUUGGAAGGAAGGUUGCUAGGAUUUGGAAAAAUGGGUUCAAAUACUCUGUGAUCUGCUCAUCCUUAAACAGAAUGAAUUGCACCGGAUCAUGCUUCCAUUUAUGAUUAACUGCUCCUUUCUAGGAAAGUAUACCACAAUCUAGAUUUGGUGGUGAUCUUCAACAUGAUGUCCAGAAAGGGGAUACAGUGAUUAAUGCCACUUGUGGCAAUGGUUAUGAUACUUUAGCAAUGGUCAUUAUACUUGCUGAUGAAUUAGCCAGGGUUGUGUUUAUGCAAUGGAUAUUCAGAAUGAUGCUUUAGAGAAUAAGAUUUGUACAUGUGCAAUUUGUCUACUAUACGCAGAGGUGGAUCUCUUUUCCAUAAUAUCCUUCUUAUCUGCACAA